rnacentral:rRNA from 1 species
GAUGAACGCUGGCGGCGUGCCUAAUACAUGCAAGUCGAGCGGACAGACGAGGAGCUUGCUCCUCUGACGUUAGCGGCGGACGGGUGAGUAACACGUGGAUAACCUACCUAUAAGACUGGGAUAACUUCGGGAAACCGGAGCUAAUACCGGAUAAUAUAUUGAACCGCAUGGUUCAAUAGUGAAAGACGGUUUUGCUGUCACUUAUAGAUGGAUCCGCGCCGCAUUAGCUAGUUGGUAAGGUAACGGCUUACCAAGGCAACGAUGCGUAGCCGACCUGAGAGGGUGAUCGGCCACACUGGAACUGAGACACGGUCCAGACUCCUACGGGAGGCAGCAGUAGGGAAUCUUCCGCAAUGGGCGAAAGCCUGACGGAGCAACGCCGCGUGAGUGAUGAAGGUCUUCGGAUCGUAAAACUCUGUUAUUAGGGAAGAACAAAUGUGUAAGUAACUAUGCACGUCUUGACGGUACCUAAUCAGGAAGCCACGGCUAACUACGUG